AUUGAACGCUGGCGGCAUGCUUUACACAUGCAAGUCGGACGGCAGCACAGAGAAGCUUGCUUCUUGGGCGGCGAGUGGCGAACGGGUGAGUAACAUAUCGGAACGUACCGAGCAGUGGGGGAUAACUAAUCGAAAGAUUAGCUAAUACCGCAUAUUUUCUGAGGAAGAAAGCAGGGGACCAUUUGGCCUUGCGCUGUUUGAGCGGCCGAUAUCUGAUUAGCUAGUUGGUGGGGUAAAGGCUUACCAAGGCGACGAUCAGUAGCGGGUCUGAGAGGAUGAUCCGCCACACUGGGACUGAGACACGGCCCAGACUCCUACGGGAGGCAGCAGUGGGGAAUUUUGGACAAUGGGCGCAAGCCUGAUCCAGCCAUGCCGCGUGUCUGAAGAAGGCCUUCGGGUUGUAAAGGACUUUUGUCAGGGAAGAAAAGGGCGGGGUUAAUACCCCUGUCUGAUGACGGACCUAAGAAAAGC
rnacentral:rRNA from 1 species